rnacentral:tRNA from 1 species
GCCUGGGUGGCUCAGUCGGUGAAGCGUCUGACUUCGGCUCAGGACAUGAUCUCAUGGCUCGCGGGUUCAAGUCCCGUGUCAGGCU